ACGAAUUGACUUUGGGAAUGAUAUUUUUUCAAUUACACCAGGCAAGUAUUCUGAUAAAACCUAGCCAAAAUUUACAGAAUAGCAAAUGUACAAAAAAUAAGCAUCUUUCCAGAAUGUAAAUAUCAUAAUACAACUUAGGAAGCAUAAAUUCAUAAACAUUAUUCUUCAUUUUAUUCUUCUCAAUCUUUUUUUCUUAAGAAAAUGAAACAUUUUCUCAAAAUCCACAUCUCCAUCAAGUCAGCAACUCUGCCUCUAAUCUAAUUAGUAUAUAUAAAUUCCAUUAAACAUCAUUUAUCAACAAAAUAGUAAUCAUAAAUACAUGCCUCUCAAUUGACCUGUAAAUGCUUGAAGUCAUCUGAUUUAUAUGGAAAGAUCUCCAUACUGAGAUUGUUCAAUAGCUAAUCUCACUAUUCAGCCCAUUUGUGCUCAACAUGAAACCAACAGACAUGCCAAAUUAUGUCAGCCACCCACUCAGGGAAUUGGCAUAACAAGAGGUGGGAACUUUGGAAAGGCACAAAAAAAAACUAUGCUUCAACGACUACAGUAAGAGAAUCGACCAAAAAAAAUUAUUCAAACAGAAAAAUUCUAAACAAGGAUGAAGAAAUUAAAUCAAAAUGAAUUGGGGAAGGGAUUGAGAAAUAGGAGAAGAGGAAGGUAGAGUGACUACCUUGUAGAAUAGUACGACGUCGCUUACUUUCGGAGCCUCCACGAACAGGUGAGGCUUCAACGUCGAGAAUGUCACCGCCUGGAGUUUUCGUUCUGCGACUCACCGUUAUUAACAACCUCCUGCACCAUCGUCAACUGUUUGAAGAGAGAGAAUAACCCUAGGAAAGAUAACGUAGAUGAAGAAAAUAGGAAAUUAAAACCCUAUAAUGGAGGAGAAGUUAAAGGAGAGGCCACCACUAUGUCGUCGCUACCGCCACCACUACGCCUCCACUAUUUCUAGGGUUAGAAGGAGUCGAGAGGGAGGAGAAUGAGAUCUGCUGCAUAUCUGAGUGAGAGAGUUGAGCUAGUGAAAUGAGAGAGAUAGAGUUGGGCAGAGACGAAAAAGUACCAGAACAAAAAAAA
rnacentral:lncRNA from 1 species